UGACCAAAAGUGCGUAUCUCACUACCAU
rnacentral:piRNA from 1 species